GUCUAAGUAUAAGCAAUUAUACCGUGAAACUGCGAAUGGCUCAUUAAAUCAGUUAUCGUUUAUUUGAUAGUACCUUACUACUUGGAUAACCGUGGUAAUUCUAGAGCUAAUACAUGCUGAAAACCGCAACUUCGGAAGCGGUGUAUUUAUUAGAUAAAAAACCAACGCCCUUCGGGGCUUCUUGGUGAUUCAUGAUAACUUUACGGAUCGCAUGGCCUUGCGCCGGCGACGGUUCAUUCAAAUUUCUGCCCUAUCAACUUUCGAUGGUAAGGUAUUGGCUUACCAUGGUUUCAACGGGUAACGGGGAAUUAGGGUUCGAUUCCGGAGAGGGAGCCUGAGAAACGGCUACCACAUCCAAGGAAGGCAGCAGGCGCGCAAAUUACCCAAUCCCGACACGGGGAGGUAGUGACAAUAAAUACUGAUACAGGGCUCUUUUGGGUCUUGUAAUUGGAAUGAGUACAAUUUAAACCUCUUAACGAGGAACAAUUGGAGGCAGU
rnacentral:rRNA from 1 species